UUGAUGCAGAAUUACAUACAGAUAAG
rnacentral:piRNA from 1 species